rnacentral:rRNA from 1 species
CAGUCGCCGCGGUAAUACGUAGGUGGCAAGCGUUGUCCGGAAUUAUUGGGCGUAAAGGGCUCGCAGGCGGUUUCUUAAGUCUGAUGUGAAAGCCCCCGGCUCAACCGGGGAGGGUCAUUGGAAACUGGGAAACUUGAGUGCAGAAGAGGAGAGUGGAAUUCCACGUGUAGCGGUGAAAUGCGUAGAGAUGUGGAGGAACAUCAGUGGCGAAGGCGACUCUCUGGUCUGUGACUGACGCUGAGAGACGAAAGCUAGGGGAGCAAAUGGGAUUAGAUACCCCUGUAGUCCCUGUCUCUUAUAA